GACGUAGGGCGCGAGCGUUGUCCGGAAUUAUUGGGCGUAAAGAGCUCGUAGGCGGUCUGUCGCGUCGAUCGUGAAAACUUGGGGCUUAACCCUGAGCUUGCGGUCGAUACGGGCAUGACUGGAGUUCGGCAGGGGAGACUGGAAUUCCUGGUGUAGCGGUGAAAUGCGCAGAUAUCAGAGGAACACCGGUGGCGAAGGCGGGUCUCUGGGCCGAUACUGACGCUGAGGAGCGAAAGCGUGGGGAGCGAACAGG
rnacentral:rRNA from 1 species